CCCACACGUGGUGAGCUCCAACCUCUCUUUCCAACCCCUGAACAUCUGAUCUGAAGUGGACAUCAAUUUUAAUUGUUAUGUACACAACAUGGAUGUGGCACGUGAUGGCAGCAGGGCGCUUGAAUGGUUUCUAACCAAGAUACUGCAUCCGACCACUGCCUCCUGACAGGGUAGUGCAGAUCAAGUAGCCUCCAUUGGGUGACUGCUGCUGAGGCCUAAUUGGCCGAUCGUGGUCGUGCUCCUACUCCUACUCCUGCUCCAGUCCGUUUAAUAUCAAGGACGUCCUCCUCCCCUCCUCCUACCCCCACACGUGGUGAGGUCCAAUGCAUAUGUGGAUAAUCAGGAACUGGUGGUACAACUGUUUAAUCGGUAUUUAUCAGUUCUUUCUACUUACAUGGCGGAUAUAUCUACAAGUAAACCUACAGGGUUAUGAUGAUAUUUCCAAGGAAAUAUACUGACCCAGAUGUGACGAAGGGAAGGCCAAAGAAAGAAAACACAAAAACAGUAGCAUGCAACUGCCAAGCCUUGAUCAGACUACACCGUACAACAGAAAAUGGAUGGUAUAUACACGAUUUCAGAACUGAACACAACCACCAUUUUGUCAUCGUCGUGUGGCGAGAAACUACAUUGGCCAUCACACAGGAUCAUUGACACACCAAAUAUAUAGUGAAAUGAUGUGCUCUAUGUUCAUUCUACUGUGUUAUUGAGAUCCUGUGGUGUAAUUAUACUGCUGUGUUAUUUUGAGAAUUAUAUUAUUA